rnacentral:lncRNA from 1 species
CAACCUUAGCAUUAUUAAUAACGUGAUUGCUUGCAACACAUUUCAAUGCUCACAUAACAUAGACCCAGAAAUUAAAUUAAAUAUGUUUCCUUUUCUUCUUCUUAUUCUCCUCUCCUUGUCAUGGAGAAUUAGUGCUUCAGCUCAACCUGCCGAAGAAUUUCUUCGUUGCCUUUCCCUUCGUUUUCACAACUCUUCUUCUAUUGCAAAGCUCGUUUACACAUACCAUAAUUCUUCUUACUCCUCUGUUUUGAAAUCAUCUGCUCAAAAUUUCAGGUUCACAACACCUUCUACGCCUACACCUUUGGCCAUUGUAACACCAUUCCACGCAUCCCACAUCCAAGCAACAGUUUAUUGCUGUAGAAAACAUGGACUGCAAGUCAGAACUCGGAGUGGGGGUCAUGACUUUGAGGGUCUUUCUUAUACUACAGCUUAUAAAGUUCCGUUUGUGGUCAUCGAUUUGGUGAAUCUCCGAUCAGUUCAGGUUAACGUUGAAAAAGCUACGGCAUGGGUUGAAUCUGGUGCAACUGUUGGUGAAUUAUACUAUGAAAUUGCUCGGAAAACUAGAACUCUUGCCUUUCCGGCUGGUAUCGGCCACACCGUGGGUAUUGGUGGACAAUUGAGUGGAGGAGGCUAUGGCGUAUUGUUUCGAAAAUAUGGUCUUGCCUCAGAUAAUGUAAUCGACGCUCGUUUAAUUGAUGCUUAUGGGAGAAUUCUUGAUAAAAAAUCGAUGGGAGAAGAUCUGUUUUGGGCCAUUCGGGGAGGUGGUGGAGGUAGCUUUGGUAUAGUUCUUGCAUGGAAAGUGAAAUUGGUUCCAGUUCCAGCUAAUGUUACUGCUUGUACAGUGAGCAAAACGCUAGAGCAAAAUGCAACCAAACUUGUUCACCAGUGGCAGUCUAUUGCGCGCAAAUUUCCCAAAGAAAUACAAUCGAGUAUUGCCAUAGCAAGGGUGAAUUCAAGUGAAGAUGGGAAGAUGACGAUACAAGCAAGUUACGGUUCCGUGUUUCUUGGAAGCAUUGAUGAGCUUAUUCCAUUGAUGGAAGAGAAAUUCCCUGAACUUGGACUAGUGAAAGAAGAUUGCUUGGAGAUGAGUUGGGCUGAAUCUAUUCUCUACAGUGCCCUAUCUAUAAUCGGAUUACCAUUGGAAACUUUACUUAAUAGGACUCAAAAGUCAGCUCUUUCGCAAACAUUCUUCAAAGCAAAAUCUGACUUCGUAAAACAACCGAUUUCUGAAUCGGGGUUCGAAGGAUUAUGGCCCAAGUUUUACGAGGAUGAAGCAAAAUCCGCAGUUAUGGUAUUGGUGGCUUAUGGAGGCAAAAUGGAUGAGAUUCCUGAGACCGAAUAUCCAUAUCCUCACAGAGCUGGCAACCUCUAUAGCAUCUUAUACGUGGUGAAUUGGGAAGAAGAGGAAAACAAAAACUCUGAAAAGUUCAUGAAUUGGAUGAGGAGAGUGUACAGUUACAUGACUCCCUACGUUUCAAAAUCACCACGGGAAGCAUAUGUGAAUUACAGAGAUCUUGACAUCGGGACUAACAAAUUUAACCACGACAAAGGAAGCUAUACAGAAGCUAAGGUUUGGGGUCUUAAAUAUUUUAAGAACAACUUCGACAAGUUGGUGCAUGUAAAGACAAAGGUUGAUCCCCAAAACUUCUUUAAACAUGAACAAAGCAUCCCUCCUCUUUUUUAAUUUCGAAGUGUAGAAUUUUUAGAAGAAAUUUAUGUAUGAUGUUUUUAUAUAUCAUAUAGAAUUUCUUUUUAAAAUACUUUCAUAAGACUAAAUUACAUGUCAUUCAUAAACUAUUAUACAUAUGAUGUAGACUACGUCAAUUAUAAAUUUGUAAUAAACUAUUAUCGUUCCAUCACAAUUUUUAUCUAAUCAUCUAUUUGACUAAUUGGCAACCAUAGAAUUGACUUGUAAAACAACUAAAAUUUGAACUCAAAUCGCAAUUUUGGUAUAAUUAUUUUUAGGUCCCUUGACCUUGACUACUUAAUUCUUUUUCUAAAAAAUAAUGCCACGUAGUAGCAUCCAAUCAGUCCACAUGUUAAGCCAUGUCAAAUUUUAACAUCAUUCAAGGAAGGUACCACACUGAUAAGUGUAGUUAAAGUUAAGGUAUCAAAAUCGAUUUUUUAAAAGUUUAAGUAUCACAUUAGAAGACUUGUCAAAGUUUAGGUACCAAAUAUAUCAUUACCCAUUUCAAUAAUAACAGACAAGAUUAUCUAUAAUAAGAUUUUUUUUAUAUAAAUAAUGUCACUCGAUGUGAUAGGAAUGAUCCACAUGUCAAAGAAUAUAUGUAAUAUCUCGAAAAUUAUUACUGUAAUACCCCAAAAAUUACUACUGUAAGAAAGUAAGUAUCCUUGAUAUAGUAAAAUAAGGAAAUAAAGUGACAAAAAGGGAAAUUUUUAGUUAUGGCAACAUUUGCAAGUAUAUUAUGAUAUAUUAAUUCAAGAAAGGAUUAAAUCGCAAAAGUGAGAAAAGAAGAGUAAAUACUCAAAAUUUGAGGGGAUAAAGUGUAAAUAUGAAAAAGUUGAAGGACCAAUUGUUAAAAUAUUUUAUGGGUGGAAUAAUCCAGAAACUAAGGAAAACAGAUGAAUUAGGACCAAAUUGAAAAGGUGAAGAAUAUUGAGGGACUAAAUCACAAUUUUACCAAAUUAAGUGAUGACUCAAGGAUGGAAUUUUUAAAGAUUAUGAAGGGCAAAAUGAUCAAUUAGAAGAGAGAAAUCUAGAAUGCAAUGAUGAUGUUGGAGAUAUUUUAGAUUAAUUAAAUAAAUAAAUAUUAGUUUAUUAAUAUUUUAAUUUGAUUUUUAAAUAAAAUUUUAUUAUUUUAUUAUUAUUUUAUUUAGUAUAUAUAUAAGAAAAGGAAGAUGAAGAAUCACCAUCCCACCAUUUUUUCCAUGCACCAACGUGAGAAGAAGAGAGAUAGAAAGAAAGUUUUACUUUCUUUACAAUUUGGUCCUUCCACCAAAAAUUUUCUAUUUUCACCUAGAAAUCAAAAGAAUUUCCAUAUCCAUCAAGAGAGAAAGAUAACAAGGAGACUAUGAGAGUAGAAUAUCAAGUUAGAUUCAAGAAAUAGAAGCUAGAGGAGAGAUAAAAUCAAGUUAAAGUUUGAAACUAAUAGGACAAGGUAAGAACAUCAAGAUUUCAAUAUAUUUUUAAGUUUGAUAUUAUUGAAAAAGCAUGGAAAUGAUGUUAUAGUAGAGUUUUCUUAAAUAAGUUCUUAUGUUCUUGAUAUAUUAGUGAAGGGAAAUACGAGAAAGUGAUGGGAAAUAUUAUAGAAAAAAGGAAUAAAUGAGUUUUAAACUUAGUAAUCAACACCUUGCAUUAAAACAGUUUUGGACAGCAGCAGUAGUCUAACUUUGAAAAAUCACCAAAAAUUGUGGGAAUCAAAUUAGAAUAUGAAUAAAAUAUGAAAUUAAAUCUUAAUGAGUCUAGUUUCUCAUAGAAGAAACUAUGUAAGCAAUAGAGUUGUAAAUCAUGAGAUAUAAUAAAUUUUGUGAGACAAGGUCAGAAUGAUUUCGGGUUCCCCUGUUCUGAUUUUGGAAAAUCAUAAAAAAAUUGAUAAAAAUAAUUAGGGGCUUAUAUUUAUAUUUUUAAAUCCUUAAUGAGUCUAUUUUCAAUAGAAACCAACGAUAACAUCAUCUGAAUCCCGUACGAGGAGAUAAUUAUUUUUUAGUGAAGAAGGGUUGAAACUGUCAAACAGCAGAACAGUGAUGAUUUUAAAGAAUAAAAUGUACUUAUUGGCUAAACCAUAAAUUCUGAAAAUUUUAUGGUAAGAAGAUAUGUGAGUCUAGUUUCACAGAAAUUUAGCAUAUCUUAAUUCGGAGUUCCGUAGCUCAAGAUAUAAAUAAUUUAGUGACUAUACCUCAAGUGGACAGCUUUGAAUGAACAUAUAAAUAAAUAGUAAAAUUAUAGAUAAUGUUACAUAUAAGCAUGUUAUAUACAUUAAGGAUGUGGAAUGGAGAGGAGGAGGAGGAAAAUAUAUGAUUACUCAACUAGCAUGAGUUUUCAUUAAAAUGGCUAAUUUGCAUGUUUUAGGUUCAGGGACUAAAUUGAAUAAAAGUAAAAUUUUAAGGGUAAAUUUGUAAAAAUGAAUUGUUUUAUUAUUUAAAUUAAUAAAUUGAAUGAAAUAUUAAUUUAGAUCAAGAUUGGGUGGAAAUUCGAGAAAAAUAGAAAAUUACCAAAAUGUCCGUGAAUUUUGGUAUUUCUUCAAUUUAGCCUGGUAAGUUCGUAUGAACUAUGUUCUGUAUAAUUUUAAUUAAAGUAAAUGUUAUUUGGUGAUAAAUAUUAUAUAAAUAUGUGUUUUAUUCUUGGAAUUGAAUUAUUAUUGGUAAUAUGUAUAAUUAUUAGAUGCAUUGAAAUGAUUAUCAGAAACUUAAUUGGGUUGGAAGCUUGUCGGAGAUAUAUCACACUAUCCAUUGGUUCUAUCGGUAAUUUUGGAUGAUUUGAUUCUGGUUAUAAUGGCAUGUAUAAGUUAAAUUGGCCAACGUUAGCUCAUUAAUGUUUUGAUUUUUAUUGGUUAUAAGUAUGAAUGCUUGAUGAAAUGAAAUGUCUGUAAAUUAAUUUGUAAACUCCGAUAAUGCUCUAUAACCCUAUUCUGGCGAUGGAUACGGGUUAGAGGUGUUACAUUUAUUGGUAUCAGAGCUACGGUUUAGUCGAUUCUCGGACCGAACAUAGCAUAUGCGAAGUUUAGAAAUACAUGCCAUUAUAUAACCUGUGAUAGUGUGAUAUCUCUCGACUCUGGUGAGAUUUGUUUUACUCAUAGACAGGAAUGCUUUCCAAACCGAGCUAAAUUCCAAUAAUGUUGAAAGCGAUGCUCAAGUAUAUAUAAAAAAAAAAGUUGAUUAUGAUGAAUCGGAACUCAUAAAGGUAUGAAUAAAUGUUUUAUAAUACAUGAUGAUGAAUAUUAUGUUAUAUGUACUAUUAAAAGUAAAUUAUAGUGCUACACGAACUAUUGUGCUAAUAACUAAAUCAUAAAAUAUACAAAAGUAAUAUAGGAAGUAUAUGAUAAGGAUUAUUAGGGAAUUAGGGAUGAAUAGUGAAUUUUGAAAUAUAUUACAUGUGCUAAAGAUAGAGAAGAUAUAAAUGCACGAAUUAUUGGUACAAGAAUUAAAUUGUAAAACAUGUAAAAGUAUUGUGCGAAAAGUGUAAAAGUGAUAUGCAUGCAUGAAAUAAUUUGUCCAAGUAGACAGGAUUAGAACUAUUAGGAUAUUAAGGGAGUUUAGCGUGCUCUCUGAUUAUUAGCAUGUCAGUGUUCUCUGAUUACUAGCACGUCAGUGCUCUCUGAUUAAUUAUAUAAAAUUAAAAUUUCUUUAUCACAUUUCACACUAAAUCUAAAUCAAUAUAUAAUUUUAAGAUUUAUCAUUUAUAUAUUUGAAGCAAUUAAAAUUUUGUGUUAUAGUUGUUAAAUGAAUAAAUUAUUAUUGAUUAUAAUUGUGGAGCAAUGGAUAGAUGUCCACUUAAAUAGAUGAUGCUACUAUCCAAGAAAUCUUCAUUGUCAAGUGGGAUCAGAUUCGUUUUUGAAUUCGGCUCUUGGAGCAAAGCUAAUGGCAAUGAUGACAAAUACGGCAGCUGAAACAAUGGCCCUAGCAGAUGACCCUGCCCACCAACCUUAGCAUUAUUAAUAACGUGAUUGCUUGCAACACAUUUCAAUGCUCACAUAACAUAGACCCAGAAAUUAAAUUAAAUAUGUUUCCUUUUCUUCUUCUUAUUCUCCUCUCCUUGACAUGGAGAAUUAGUGCUUCAGCUCAACCUGCCGAGGAAUUUCUUCGUUGCCUUUCCCUUCGUUUUCACAACUCUUCUUCUAUUGCAAAGCUCGUUUACACGUAACAUAAUUCUUCUUACUCCUCUGUUUUGAAAUCAUCUGCUCAAAAUUUCAGGUUCACAACACCUACGCCUACACCUUUGGCCAUUGUAACACCAUUCCACGCAUCCCACAUCCAAGCAACAGUUUAUUGUUGUAGAAAACAUGGACUGCAAGUCAGAACUCGGAGUGGGGGUCAUGACU